GAUGAACGCUGGCGGCGUGCCUAAUACAUGCAAGUCGAGCGAACAGACGAGGAGCUUGCUCCUCUGACGUUAGCGGCGGACGGGUGAGUAACACGUGGAUAACCUACCUAUAAGACUGGGAUAACUUCGGGAAACCGGAGCUAAUACCGGAUAAUAUAUUGAACCGCAUGGUUCAAUAGUGAAAGACGGUUUUGCUGUCACUUAUAGAUGGAUCCGCGCCGCAUUAGCUAGUUGGUAAGGUAAAGGCUUACCAAGGCAACGAUGCGUAGCCGACCUGAGAGGGUGAUCGGCCACACUGGAACUGAGACACGGUCCAGACUCCUACGGGAGGCAGCAGUAGGGAAUCUUCCGCAAUGGGCGAAAGCCUGACGGAGCAACGCCGCGUGAGUGAUGAAGGUCUUCGGAUCGUAAAACUCUGUUAUUAGGGAAGAACAAAUGUGUAAGUAACUAUGCACGUCUUGACGGUACCUAAUCAGAAAGCCACGGCUAACUACGUGCCAGCAGCCGCGGUAAUA
rnacentral:rRNA from 1 species